GGUUGUCGUCAGCUCGUGUCGUGAGAUGUUGGGUUAAGUCCCGCAACCGAGCGCAACCCUCGACCUUAGUUGCCAGCAUUCAGUUGGGCACUCUAAGGUGACUGCCGGCUAAAAGUCGGAGGAAGGUGGGGAUGACGUCAAAUCAUCAUGCCCCUUAUGACCUGGGCUACACACGUGCUACAAUGGGCGGUACAAAGGGUCGCGAACCCGCGAGGGGGAGCCAAUCCCAAAAAGCCGCUCUCAGUUCGGAUUGCAGGCUGCAACUCGCCUGCAUGAAGCCGGAAUCGCUAGUAAUCGCGGAUCAGCAUGCCGCGGUGAAUACGUUCCCGGGCCUU
rnacentral:rRNA from 1 species